UUUUCUCAAACGUGAAAAAAAUUAUCAAUAUUUUAAUUAUAGUUAUUCGAAGCACUAACUAACAAUUUGAUUAGAGAUUUAAUUGUCCAACUCUAGCCACUUUGAGGCAGGCUCGGUUAUCGGAACAAGAAAACCUGAUGUUAUUGCCCUUCCUUGCAAUAUUAUCAUAUUGCUGUAUAUUGUUUACUCAAUACGAAAAAAAGAGACCUGAGGUUAAAGGCAACUAAAUCAGCAAAUGCAUUAACUGAUUUAGUUAAAUGGGCAAUGUUAUCAUCAUAUUUAACCAAGGAUGGUUUAAAUGAUUAUGAGUUGAUUGAAUGCGUGGAAAAGCAGUACAAUUAUCUCGGAUAAGUCAACGCAAAGUUAAAGAAGGAUUAAAUGACUGCGUAGUAGCUUAGUCGAGUAAAUAGAAAUGAAAAGCUGUGAAGAAAAGGCUAGUAAAUUAUGUAGAGAUAUUAAAUGAUGGUCAACUGGCAGCGAACAGCCUAAAAGAGUCUAAAAUAGUAAAAAAGAGUAAAUAUGUGUUAACAAUAACUUAUAUCUAGAUUUCAAGGGUUUACAAGAUGUUUUAGAAAAUAUAUUUUCUGAAACAUCUUGUAUUUUUAAGAUGCAGUUCCAAAAUUAGAAAUAAGUAAAAAAAUUUAAAUUUUUUUGUAGUUUGUUUUUUACAGGUGAUUUACGGUUGGUUGAUAAUGUAUUCUGAUGACUAAAGAAAGCAAACUUAUGAUUAUACUGUAGAUCAUUUAAAGAAGAUUUAAGAUGAACCUAUAUGUGUUUCAUGCGAAACAUCGGAUAUGUUUCUCAUCUCCAUAACAACAUCGAAUAUAUUCAUGCGAAACAUCAGGUGUUUCUCAUGUUAUUCCAUCGAAUGAGAAUAACAUGAGAAACAAGACCAUAACAUCAGAAACAAAAUCAAAACAUGUCAUCGCAUUGGAAACAAGAUACGAAACAUCGGAGUACCACUAUGUAUUACAUGUUUGUUGUAGAUAACAAAUUAAAUUAAAUAAAUAUAGUUAUAGUAUGUAUUAAAAAA